rnacentral:rRNA from 1 species
AACGAACGCUGGCGGCAGGCUUAACACAUGCAAGUCGAACGCCCCGCAAGGGGAGUGGCAGACGGGUGAGUAACGCGUGGGAAUCUACCCAGUUCUGCGGAACAACAGUUGGAAACGACUGCUAAUACCGCAUACGCCCUACGGGGGAAAGAUUUAUCGGAAUUGGAUGAGCCCGCGUUGGAUUAGCUAGUUGGUGGGGUAAUGGCCUACCAAGGCGACGAUCCAUAGCUGGUCUGGGAGGAUGAUCAGCCACACUGGGACUGAGACACGGCCCAGACUCCUACGGGAGGCAGCAGUGGGGAAUAUUGGACAAUGGGCGCAAGCCUGAUCCAGCCAUGCCGCGUGAGUGAUGAAGGCCUUAGGGUUGUAAAGCUCUUUCAGUAGGGAAGAUAAUGACGGUACCUACAGAAGAAGCCCCGGCUAACUUCGUGCCAGCCGCCGCCGUAAGAC